GCUGGGCUGGACAAGUGCAAGGCACUUGGCGCUGGGGAUGGUCCCUGGUGGGGAGGCCGUUGCUGGGAGGGGCAUUUUCCUUUUUUUGAAAAUCACAGAUCAGGAGGCAUUAAAAGCAAAAACCUUCGUCCCCUUGUUCCAGAUGUGGGAACCGAAAGAGAAGCUGUUGGGUGGAGAUAUGAUCAAUUUAGCAGCCAGGGAUUAGUGGGCAUCUUCAGGCCUCAUUCUUCAAGAUCUCCCUGCCUAAUAUGCUGUUUCUCCAGUGAUCUGAAGUCUGCUGAGGUUCCAUCCACACAACUCCAGCUCUGUUUUUGUACACUGGGUGGGCUUCCUGCAGUCCCGGACGGGGGAUUGACCGGGAGUGCGCCGGGUGCACACUGAACUGGAAAAACAAUAUUUUUUUCCAACGUUACCACCAUCUCUCCCCAUUUCAACUUAUUUUCCUUGACAGGAAGAAACAUUAGGGACCUUAGACGGUUGCAAUAAAUUUGCAUUCUUCCUGUCCCUCUGCACGUUUUUCUGCAUUUCUUUUCAAAAUGCUUUUUUCUUCUCAGGCCAAAACUUAGAUGGAAGAUGAAGAGGGGGCGAGUGGGAGCUUUCUAAAGAAAACAUUUCCGGCAAUAAAGACCCUAAGUUCUCUCUCCAUACAUCCCCCCACCCAAAAGGGCCAUCUGGACUAUCAGAUCCAGGGUCUGUCCCUUCCUUGUUUUCCCUUCCCCCCAAAAAAAACCUCCACCCACCUUUCAGAAUCUUCAGAGAAGAUUCUCAACCUUCAGAGAAUCCUUGGAGCAGCUGAGUUGGGAUACUUGCAGAAUCCUUCCAGGGAGAGCUCUUUGAGACCCACUCCCAAAGUUUCCAGCUGACCAACACGACUUGGAAGGAGCGGUGUCAGAUGUCCCACCUUCUCAAGCCUUGCCUGAAAUGGCAGCCUUUUCCUGAAAAAAAAAAAAAAUAGAAAUAAAAAUUGGAUUGCA